rnacentral:rRNA from 1 species
GCAGCAGGCGCGAAACCUUUACACUGCGCGACAGCGCGAUAAGGGGACUCCAUCUGCGAGGGCAUAUCGUCCUCGCUUUUUCCUACCGUAAGGUGGUAGGCGAAUAAGGGCUGGGCAAGACCGGUGCCAGCCGCCGCGGUAAUACCGGCAGCCCGAGUGAUGACCGCUCUUAUUGGGCCUAAAGCGUCCGUAGCUGGCCUCGCAAGUCCAUCGGGAAAUCCGCGCGCUCAACGCGCGGGCGUCCGGUGGAAACUGCGUGGCUUGGGACCGGAAGACCCGAGGGGUACGUCUGGGGUAGGAGUGAAAUCCCGUAAUCCUGGACGGACCACCGGUGGCGAAAGCGCCUCGGGAGGACGGAUCCGACGGUGAGGGACGAAAGCCAGGGUCACGAACCGGAUUAGAUACCCGGGUAGUCCUGGCCGUAAACGAUGUCUGCUAGGUGUGUCACAGGCUACGAGCCUGUGAUGUGCCGUAGGGAAGCCGUGAAGCAGACCGCCUGGGAAGUACGUCCGCAAGGAUGAAACUUAAAGGAAUUGGCGGGGGAGCACUACAACC